AAAAUACAGAGAGGUGAAGUAGUGUGUCUUUCCAGAUCCCCAAAUCAUUCCCCCUUAAAAGAUGAGCCUGAAGAGGAGAUUUGGGAAGAUGCUGUUUCAUAAGUCGCUUUGCCUGAUCACAUGUGGUCGGGAUGUCUGCUAACAAGAUGCCUUGCUGGUCUGGGUGAGUAUAAAGGCUUACACAGACAGUCCAGAAGUUCUGAAGUCCAUCUUCGAUCUCAUUGGAUGAUUUAAGGUGUAGAAACAUCUCAGCAACCUCAAGAGAAAUUGGAGGCAACUGUGCUAAAUUGCAGAUGAUGUUGCAAAGGGUCUGAAUAUGUAUAAUAUGCUGUCAUCGUAUUAAGUACAGCAUGAGCCAGAAUGGAUGGGUGGUGGUGGCCAUAAGAAGACUGUCAACUAAACCAACAACAAAAUUCAUAUUUGCAGUUUUUCUUGAAUAAAGUUUUUCUAUU